rnacentral:rRNA from 1 species
AGAGUUUGAUCUUGGCUCAGGACGAACGCUGGCGGCGUGCUUAACACAUGCAAGUCGAGCGAAGCAUAUUAGGUAGCUUGCUACCUGAUUUGACUGAGCGGCGAACGGGUGAGUAACACGUGGGUGAUCUGCCUGAAAGCCUGGGACAACAGUUGGAAACGGCUGCUAAUACCGGAUAAAGUCUAGUAUUCGUUUAUUAGACCAAAGAAUUUCGCUUUCAGAUGAGCCCGCGUCCCAUUAGCUAGUUGGUAGGGUAAAGGCCUACCAAGGCGACGAUGGGUAGCCGGUCUGAGAGGAUGGACGGCCACACUGGAACUGAGACACGGUCCAGACUCCUACGGGAGGCAGCAGUGGGGAAUUUUGCGCAAUGGGCGAAAGCCUGACGCAGCGACGCCGCGUGAGUGAUGAAGGCCUUCGGGUUGUAAAGCUCUGUCGAGGGGGAAGAUAAUGACGGUACCCCUCAAGAAAGCCCCGGCUAACUACGUGCCAGCAGCCGCGGUAAGACGUAGGGGGCGAGCGUUGUCCGGAAUUACUGGGCGUAAAGGGCUGUAGGCGGCUAUUAAGUCAGNUGUGAAAUCCCCCGGCUCAACUGGGGGCUGCAGUUAAAUACAUGCUUGAGUUCAGAGAGU